rnacentral:rRNA from 1 species
GACGUAGGGCGCGAGCGUUGUCCGGAUUUAUUGGGCGUAAAGGGCGCGUAGGCGGUGUGUCAAGUCAGGCGUGAAAGCCCCGGGCUCAACCUGGGAACUGCGCCUGAGACUGGCACGCUCGAGUUCGGGAGAGGAUGGUGGAAUUCCCAGUGUAGAGGUGAAAUUCGUAGAUAUUCGCAAGAACACCAGUGGCGAAGGCGGCUAACUGGUCCGGUUCUGACGCUGAGGCGCGAAAGCGUGGGGAGCAAACAGG